UAAGAUGACCCUAAUGGAAACGCUCGUUUAUCGAGCCUCUACCUUUCGGUUCACUUGGAACAAGACGGAAGAUAGUCAAUCUUACCGUCGCGCAUACCUAAAAGCGGGUCUGCCGCCUUCGUUUCUCUUUCUUCGCGAAUGACUAACCUCCCUUUGGCUAAGCCCACAAGGCGUGCCUUGCCGGUGCAAUUGGUGCCAGCAGGGUUCGGUUUAGGGCUUGUAGCUCAGUUGGUUAGAGCGCGCGCUUGAUAAGCGUGAGGUCGGAGGUUCAAGUCCUCCCAGGCCCACCACUUCAGUGCAGCCCGAAGGGCUGUCACGACGCAAUCCGCAAGGAUUGUCGGAUCACCUCGACACCUGUCGGGAAACGCUAUCAGGGGCCGUAGCUCAGCUGGGAGAGCGCCUGCUUUGCAAGCAGGAUGUCGUCGGUUCGAUCCCGUCCGGCUCCACCAAUGCGCAAUCCGUAAGGAUUGUCGUAAUCGCGACGAUCCUGUGGAUCGCGCGUAGGUGUCGAGUAGAGAUGGUGAGAGAAGUCAUUCGUAAAAAGAGUUUGCGCCGAGCCUCGGGCUCUGCGCCUGUUCUGUUUGACAUCGUAAAGAGAAGAUUUGUUCGAACUUCACGAGCCGCAAGGUUGGUGAUUUGUCGCAAGGGACGCUCAAUCCCUUGCAUAUGAUGGGUAAGCCUAACCGCGCCCUCGAACCGAUCUCGAGAAGCUGGUCUUUUUGUGCCAAUUCCAUGCGACGAUCUCUGCGAGAUCGCGCUUGAGCGACGAUCCUUCGGAUCGCGCUUUGCUAAUCUCGUAAGAGAGAGGCCGAAGCGACGAUUUCUUCGAAAUCGCGCGAUGGGUAUUGGCAAUGAGAACGAUCAAGUGUCUUAAGGGCAAUUGGUGGAUGCCUUGGCAUGCACAGGCGAUGAAGGACGUGAUACGCUGCGAUAAGCUACGGGAGGUGCGAAUACCCUUUGAUCCGUAAAUCUCAAGG
rnacentral:misc_RNA from 1 species